rnacentral:rRNA from 1 species
CCUACGGGGGGCAGCAGUGAGGAAUAUUGGUCAAUGGCCGAGAGGCUGAACCAGCCAAGUCGCGUGAGGGAAGACGGCCCUACGGGUUGUAAACCUCUUUUGUCGGGGAGCAAAGCGAACCACGUGUGGUUCAUUGAGAGUACCCGAAGAAAAAGCAUCGGCUAACUCCGUGCCCGCAGCCACGGUAAUACGGAGGAUGCGAGCGUUAUCCGGAUUUAUUGGGUUUAAAGGGUGGGCAGGCGGGGGUGAAAGUCAGCGGUCAAAUUGCGGGGCUCACCCCCGUACUGCCGUUGAAACUGGAGCCCUAGAGUGCGCGAGAAGUAGGCGGAAUGCGUGGUGUAGCGGUGAAAUGCAUAGAUAUCACGCAGAACUCCGAUUGCGAAGGCAGCAUACCGGCGCGCAACUGACGCUCAUGCACGAAAGCGUGGGUAUCGAACAGGAUUAGAUACCCCAGUAGUC